CCGAGUGUUUGGUUAUCGCGAUCUCCCAUGCUUGCUGGGAACGCGAGACUUUUCUGAGUAGCGACGAGAAUCGAGUCCUGAGUCUCGUUUCAUCUGGUUGCUGGGUGUGCGCGUCUGUGAAGAGUCUUGGGGCCAAUCUCUGAGGAAAAGUAGAGUUGGGAGGUACGCAUCCUUGAACUGAGUUAACCUUGAGCAAAAUGGAAGAUGUGGUCACAUUCCAGAGUGGAAGCUCACUCUGUCAGCCUAUAAGGAGAAAAAUAGUUUAAGCCUCUUUUUGUGAAGACGUGGGAACUUGGAGUAGUAUUUUAAGGCUACCCCAAAACCACUAAAACUUGUUUGGGAGUCUGUUACAGUUAAGCGUGUUGACAAUUUCCUAUUUCCCGCCAAAGCAGUUCACCCUUAUGUUCAUGGUAGUUUGGCCAUUGAAAGGCAUACUUUCUGCUUCACGAAAAUACGGCGACCUUAUUGUGGUUGUUACCUCGGAAAAUAAGUCUUCAGGUAAGUUUAGGGAACUCGCGGGGAACUGCCUUUCUAACACAUCCAAGAGCAAUGUUUUUGAUAUUUUUGAGUUUCUCUUAUGGAAAUUUCUUGCGUAAUCUAUCGGGAGGCCUUUUGCACUGAAUAAGCGAAGGAGGAAUUCUUUCGGCAUUGAUGUUUGUUGUCAGACAUUGCCGUGGUGGAUACAAGUGAUGCACUGGACAGUCGUUUAUUUUAAUCCCCGUUCGUUCUUGGUAAAAUUCUUCUAUUCAUUCUUUCAGAGGGUCCUAGCUUGUUCAUCCAACAAUUCUUUACAACCCAUUAGCUUGAAAGGUGAAAACAGGCGAAAUACAUGUGUUGACCGGCAGGGCAUCCUGGGAAUUGUAGUCAUUGUUUAAUGGUCCUGUCAAAACUUGCUUUUGUUUUUACCAGCUCUUACGUUUGGAAACCCUUUAGCGGUUCACUAAAACGAGAAACAUUUUACACAGAGCAGGCACCUGAUUAAAAAAAAAACAAUUCUAAUUUCAAAUCUAGAAAUUAAGGAUUUUUUUUAAUUUAAAGAGGACCUCAGAAAUUGUACUUGAAUUAAGAAGUUAUGCUUAUCAGUAGAGCCUAUUAAUUGCUAUGAUUGAUGUGGAAAAAAUGCAUUUUGGGUCUAGAGAAAAUGACAUUUCUGUCUUGAGUCAGAGAAAGCUUCACACAAUUUUGAGCCUGAUAUUAGAGCAUCCCUGAGUAGCAGUGGCUUGCAAAAGUGUUCAAGGCUGAGGGGACAGGGUAAACAAAGUGAUAACUGUCUGUCCCAAAGGUCUCAAAUAGUGAAAUCUUGAUUAUCCAGUCAUGUUCUCCAGUCCUCUUGAUCAAGCACCCCAAAAAUCUAAUCCCAAAUGUAAUCCUCUGGCUGUUACUACAUGCUAGUUUAUUAUUUGAAUUCCUUCAGUGUGUAAUUUAUUUCCUUCCUUAGUAGGCCAAUUAAAUCCCAGGCAGAUUAUGCUAAGAUUUAAUCCUGUUAAAAAAAUUCUCCUUCGUUUUAGCUGAACUUAGGUUGGUUUCUGUCUCUUGAUACCAAGACAUAUUCUCUUCCAUUUUCACUGCCUACCACCUUAGUCUCAACUUUUGAGUCUGGAAUUUUGUGUAAGCCUGUUUAAUGUUCACGUGAUCUCGGUGUCUACCUUCUGGCAAGUAACCAAACAUUCCUGUCUGAUUAAAUGCUUUAAAAAUAACACUGUAUACUGUUCAUCUCUUUUUAUAUUUUUUAAUAAAAUUUACUUUCUACUUCUGGUGAAGAACAGGCACAAGAUUAAGGAGUAAAAGACUAUGUGAAAUAGGUAUGUGAAAUGAAAGGUUGCUCUAUAUUCCAAGCUUAAAAUAACAAGUACAAAUUAAGUUGUUAGUCCCUGUAUCUGGAAUUCUCUUCCCCAGAUAGCUGCACAUCUUCCUCUACUUCCUUCUGGUCUCAGCUCACAUGUUACGUACUCAGGCCAUUCUGGAUUAUUUUAUCUAAAAUUGUAUCUCUUAUUUAUCACUCUAUCCCCUUAUCCAGUUUUUUAAAAAGGUUUUUUUUUUUUUUUUUAAUUUUUAGAUAGGAGAGGGGAAGGAGAAAGAGAGAGAAACAGCAAUGUGUGGUUGCUUUUCAUGUGCUCCCCGUUGGGAACCUGGCCUGCAACCCAGGCAUGUGCCCUGGGAAUCGAACUGGUGACCCUUUUGGUUUGCAGGCUGGUGGUCAAUCCAUUGAGCCGCACCAGCUAGAGCCCAGUUUUUUCUUAAAAAAUAAACCUAUCAGAAAUGGGAGCAACUAUGGAAAAAGUCCUUCUGCAAGGGGGUGGGACAUAGAAGGGGCACAACAUGGGGAAUGUUAUCACUUACUAGGAGGUAUGAGCCACAUAUGCAAGCCCUGAGGGCCCAGGGAGUCUACAGAGCCCAAACCCAUCCCACAUUUCGAAGCUUCAGGCUUACCAAACCAAGCCCUUAACUGCAUAGCAGACUCCCUUUGGUUGAGCAUUGAUGUAUCUUCAGAGCUCUGUAACUGUCAAAUCCCAUUUCUGUUUUUACACUGCAGAAAAUAUGGGCCUCUCUGUGAAGCUCCUUUAACUACCUGACAUUUUACAAUAUAUACUUACUGUCAGUUUCCACUCACUAGUAAUGUGAGCAUUGGAACUUAGGUUUUGUUUACUGAUGCAUCUCCUGCACACAUAGUGCCUGGCACAUGUAAAUGUUCAGUAAAUGAAUGCUGCAAUUGACUCAACUAAGAAAGAUAAUGAUCUUCAUCCUACAAUUUUAGAUCCCAAAAUUCAAGAAAAUCUAUGAGAGAAGGAAAAAUGAUUGUAUAAAAACUGUAAUUUAUGGACAGGGUGCUGUCAAUAAAGCAUAUAAAGAAAAACAUCUUGUUCCCCAAAGUACAAUCGCCCACUGACUGACAAGGGAAAAUCGAGUAAAAACAGUGAAGCUAUACUAUCAAAACCAGUUCAAUGGAGCAGCAACCACUUGUUUGUUAUGUGAAGAAUUUGGCAUAUGACUUGUACAGAGUUGUAACAUCACAAGUCUGAUCAGAAAGUUUGAGUCAAACAUUUUUGUGCAUAGUGCCAAAAGAUCAGGAAGACAAGUUUCAGUGAAGACAGAAGAAAAGGCUACCAAAUUACAGGCAUCACUGUUACAAGACCUCAAAAAUCCAGUAAGCAUCUGUCAGGGGAACUCAGUAUUAGUGACAGACAUGUUUGAAGGUUGCUGGACAAAAUGAAGCCAUGCAUACUGCACUUGCUACACUCCUUACAUGAUGGAGAUUUGGUAGAAUUUUGUGAAAGAUUUUUGGUCAAAUUAUGUAAGGAUGAGAACUUGCCAAGGUAUGGUGGUUGGAUGAGACUACAUUCAAAUUGAACAGUCAUAUCUUUAGCCAUAAUUAUGUGCAUUGGAACAAUGUGAAUCCACACAUUAUUUUAGAGAAACAUAAACUUACCAGGGGUAACAGUGUGGGUGGCAGUAUCAGUAACAGGUAUAAUUGGGCCAGUGUUCUUUGAUGGUACUGUUAAUCAGAAUAAUUACCUACAUGUCCUAAAAACAGAAUUGUGGCCUAGAGUUGAACAUGACUUCCAGCAGCACACCACAUGUGUUGAGUGUCAGAGUGGCUAGGCAUGCAUUUUGAAGGGAGAUGCAUAGGGCCACGAGAGUCAUUGGAGUAGCCAGCUCAAUCUCAAGACCUAACUCUGCCUGAGUUCUUUUUGUGGAAUGUCCUUAAAGAUCUUGUGUACAAGACUGAACACUGAUGAACUGAAAGACAGAAUUUGGGACAAAUUUGCUGACAUUACUGUCGAAUUAUGUUGUAAGACUUGUUUAGUGUAGUUGGUAGGGUAUGUGAAUGUCUUGCAUGAGACAGAAAGCACAUAUGGUGUGCAUGAGUGUUACAUGUUACAAUGUAACAUAACAUUUACAUGCUGUUAUAUUAUAGAAUUACACGCUUAUGAUUUUGUAAUACAAGGUUUGGUAUAGAUUGCCAGCUCAUAAAACGGGCAUUAUUUGUGCUGAACCCUGUAUAUAAUUUGCUUAAGUAAUGAUUAUAAAAAAGGAAAAGAGAUAUGGGCAUUAUUUGCCUAAUUAUAACAGUCUGUUAGACUUAUGUGUGCCUACUUACUCUCUCCAGGGCUGGUCCCUAUACCAGAACAAUAGUGAAAGCCAGUGAAUAAUUCUAGAACAGGGCUCUCUGAGCCUAAUUGUACUAUAAACUAUAUAGGAUUAUACUUAGGUCACUCAGACUACUGCUUAAAGGACUAUCACACUGGAGGUUAUUUGGCUUGACCUUAGACAGUGGAAGGGAGAAAUGUGGCAGUUUUUAAAUCCCUUAUGAUGUUAAAAAAAACAAAACAAAAACAAACCACUCUUAUACAGAGAUAUAAUGUUUUAGUUCUCAUCUUUCCCUAUAGGCUACUUGAACAAUGAGAUUAUAGACUGGGAAUAAAUCAGUAGUCAUAGUUUACUCAGAUCAUAGGUAUUAGGCAUAACUGCAACAGAAUGUAGUAUGGCCAAAAAACACCCAUGCCAACAUAAGUUCUUUCACCUACUCGUAGUAACUACAAAAGGUCAAUUUUGUUAUCAGUUCUAGAACUGAACAACGUGGCUUUUAUCAAACUCAAAAACUUUUAGCCCCAA